ensembl:lncRNA
GUGCUCUGUUUUCAUUCAGGCACUUCUAGCAUUGCCAUGAGUUUUCAAAGACUUCCAAGCUGAAGUGUGGACAUAACAGCACUAAAACACAGAAGAUCUAUCCAGAAAAAGAGGCCAGAGUGCCAAAGUACUAGGUUUUCGCAUUUGAGGCUGACUUAAGAUUUAAUGACCAAGCAGCCUAAUGGGAGGGAUCUCUGAAGUUUAGGCCGCAUUUCCAAAACAGCUAGGCCAAGUAACUCAUCUUCUGGUAAGAAGAUGAGGAGACCUUAACCAAAGCUUUUUUGUCCACCUUGAAGGCCAGGUAAAUCCAAAGCAUUUCUCCCAUAUCAGAGAGGUUUUUUUUUU